rnacentral:rRNA from 1 species
GACGAACGCUGGCGGCGUGCCUAACACAUGCAAGUCGAGCGGAGACAGUGAGUAGCUUGCUAUGAGCUGUUUUAGCGGCGGACGGGUGAGUAACGCGUGAGCAACCUUUCCCAGACAGGGGAAUAACACACCGAAAGGUGUACUAAUACCGCAUAAGACCACGGGAUCACAUGGUUCUGGGGUAAAAGAUUUAUCGGUUUGGGGUGGGCUCGCGUCCGAUUAGGUAGUUGGUGAGGUAACGGCCCACCAAGCCGACGAUCGGUAGCCGACCUGAGAGGGUGAUCGGCCACAUUGGGACUGAGACACGGCCCAAACUCCUACGGGAGGCAGCAGUGGGGAAUAUUGGGCAAUGGGGGGGAACCCUGACCCAGCAACGCCGCGUGGAGGAAGAAGGUUUUCGGAUCGUAAACUCCUGUCCUUGGAGACGAGUAGAAGACGGUAUCCAAGGAGGAAGCCCGGCUAACUACGUG